UCCAUCAUUCGUCGCGUCUCUUUCUCUCUCACGGAAUCAAUCUGCGUUGCUCUUGCUCUCCAUGACGGACCAGAAAAGGAGAGACAGGAAGAGUCAGAUCUCUAUCUUCUUCUUCUUCUUCUUCCACCAUUCUUUCUUUCGGGAAACUGAGUUUUAGUCACAAACGGCUAUGGGAUUGAUUCGAUUGGAGUCGUCUCUCUCGUUGAGGCUUUGGUUAACGAAGGUCUCUACAGUGUCCAUGUCUGUGCUCCUCAAACGGAUAAAUCAUUCUAUGACUCCUGGAGAAACCAUUGCUGCGAGCUCCAUUAGUAUCAAAGGUGCUAAAGCCUUUGAAGUUUCAGGUAUGCUGAUUUUGAUUGAGUGUUUGUUACUACAGUUGUUAUUAAGGGUUUGAUUAACAUAUCUAUAUGAAAGUUGGAGUCUUUGUUGAAAUUGAUUCUCGAGUUGUUCAAAAGCUGUAUGCUUUUCGCUAGUUUAGGGGAAUUUGUUUCUUUCACAACAUCUUGACAAAUUAACAUGUCUGUCUGUUUGAAAAGAAAGUAUUGAUGGUCUUUUGAUUAAUUGGUUAAGUGAUCCGUCUUGUGUGCUCCAAUAGAGGAAUCUGUGGUUGCGACUGAGUCGCUUACGAGAGAGGAUCUCAUUGCUUAUUUUGCCUCUGGUUGCAAACCAAAGCAAAAAUGGAGGAUAGGUACAGAACAUGAGAAGUUUGGUUUUGAGGUUAAUACUUUGCGCAUCAAAUAGCCGAGCUGUUUAACCUUCUUUAAUCGUGGUCUGUGGAUAAGCGAAAGAACAAUCACUUCUCUGCUGAGAAAAAAAGAGAAAAUGCAUCAAAGAGCAGCGGAGUCUCUGGAACAAUCACUUCUCUGCUGAUAUUCUACUCCACCAGGAUUCUACCAGCAUCAAGGUAAAGCAUCUCAAGCAUGACAAAGAAACGAUGGAUGCUAAGAACAAACUGACUUGUGAAGAACCAGAAGAGAUACCAUCUCCCAAGUUGACUGAUUGGCUGAAGAGCUCAACAACUCCAUGGCGCUCCCCAAUUCCGCCUGGCUUUAUGAUGAUGAUGAUGCCUUCCACACCUCUGGCUUGGCGGUUCGGUUCAGCUGAGUUCACUCUCAAAGAAGACCUCUUCUGAAUGUCUGCUUCUUAUAUCGUCUCUUAAAUUUUUUUCAGAUGAAGUAGUAGUAGUAGUAGUAGGUAGCGACUCUAUUUUGUUCACAUCAUUUUAUACUAGUGUCCAUCACUCUGUAACUGAUAGAUAAAUCUGAACAAAAGAAGUUUGCUUAGAAA